rnacentral:rRNA from 1 species
UACGUAGGGUGCGAGCGUUGUCCGGAAUCAUUGGGCGUAAAGAGCUCGUAGGCGGCCUGUCGCGUCUGCUGUGAAAUCCCGGGGCUUAACCCCGGGCGUGCAGUGGAUACGGGCUGGCUGGAGGCAGGCAGGGGAGAACGGAAUUCCCGGUGUAGCGGUGAAAUGCGCAGAUAUCGGGAGGAACACCGGUGGCGAAGGCGGUUCUCUGGGCCUGUACUGACGCUGAGGAGCGAAAGCGUGGGGAGCGAACAGG